UAACAAACAUAAACUUGCUGACCGGUGGGAUUCUACUAUUUACAUUGUGACCAAACAAAUGGGAGACCUACCUGUGUACUCCGUUAAACCUGAGAGUGCUGAUGAGCCGGUACUUACGUUACACCGUUAUCACCUGCUUCCUUGUGGAUUUCUUGCUGAAAUGGAAAAGACAGAGAAUGUAAUCGUUACAGCUAGGAAGCCAAGGACGAGGCAAGAGUGUGUUCAUUCUGACAAACCUGAUUCAGAAGAUGAAGAAGAUUACUGGCAACAUAUUUCCAUUACACCAACUCCUGUUAGAGAGAGGAUGGUGGAAUCAUGUGAAGUACCCAGGAAUCACACUGUCUCAAAUCAGUCUGUUGAAGAGGAUGGGCUGAAAGGAAUUCCACUCCAGCCUGUUCCACGCUCGAUUACGACAGAACAACCUUUUCCUGCAAAAAAUGUUGUGGAAAGUCAAUGUGAUGAUACGGUUAGUGCAAAUCGAAUUAAAGAUGGAGCUGAAUAUUUGAGUAACUCCCCUUCGGACAGAGUUGAUGAGGGAGAUUCACUUGAGACAUCUGUGAGUAGAGGAAUUGAGAAUUCACCUGAACUUCUAAUUGAGCUAGAGAUGCCAGUACAACACAGUCCACUCGACACUAGUGUUAAUGAACAAACAUCUGAAGUGAUGGAACCUGAAAAUAAUGCUGAAAUCCCUCCAAAUGAACCAUCAAGUGAAUGUUCUGUGCGCAGAUCUGAAAGAAUCCGUAAACGUCAAGGAUUGUUUCAUUACCCAACCUUAGGGAAACCUAUAAUCUCAUUCGCACAGAUUUUGCUGGAAGGAUUUCAUCAAGCAGUAAUUGAAACCUUGCUGGAAACACAGGAUGGUACCUUAAAGGGACAGUUCACCCAAAAAUCAAAAUUAUGUCAUUAAUGACUCACCCUCAUGUCGUUCCAAACCCGUGAGGCCUCCGUUCAUCUUCGGAACACAGUAUAAGAUAUUUUAGAUUUAGUCCGAGAGCUUUCUGUCCCUCCAUUGAGAAUGUAUGUACGGUAUACUGUCCACGUCCAGAAAGGUAAUAAAAACAUCUUCAAAGUAGUCCA
ensembl:lncRNA